rnacentral:rRNA from 1 species
AGUGAACGCUGGCGGUAGGCCUAACACAUGCAAGUCGAACGGCAGCACAGUAAGAGCUUGCUCUUACGGGUGGCGAGUGGCGGACGGGUGAGGAAUACAUCGGAAUCUACUUUUUCGUGGGGGAUAACGUAGGGAAACUUACGCUAAUACCGCAUACGACCUACGGGUGAAAGCAGGGGAUCUUCGGACCUUGCGCGAUUGAAUGAGCCGAUGUCGGAUUAGCUAGUUGGCGGGGUAAAGGCCCACCAAGGCGACGAUCCGUAGCUGGUCUGAGAGGAUGAUCGGCCACACUGGAACUGAGACACGGUCCAGACUACUACGGGAGGCAGCAGUGGGGAAUAUUGGACAAUGGGCGCAAGCCUGAUCCAGCCAUACCGCGUGGGUGAAGAAGGCCUUCGGGUUGUAAAGCCCUUUUGUUGGGAAAGAAAAGCAGCAGGUUAAUACCCCGCUGUUCUGACGGUACCCAAAGAAUAAGCACCGGCUAACUUCGUG